rnacentral:rRNA from 1 species
UACGGAGGGGGCUAGCGUUGUUCGGAAUUACUGGGCGUAAAGCGCACGUAGGCGGCUUUGUAAGUUAGAGGUGAAAGCCCGGGGCUCAACUCCGGAAUUGCCUUUAAGACUGCAUCGCUAGAAUUGUGGAGAGGUAAGUGGAAUUCCGAGUGUAGAGGUGAAAUUCGUAGAUAUCAAGAGGAACACCUGCGGCGAAGGCGGGUUGCUGGGCUGACACUGACGCUGAAGUGCGAAAGCUAGGGUAGCGAACGGG